rnacentral:rRNA from 1 species
AGGAGGCUUCGGUCUCUGGAGAGCGGCGAACGGGUGAGUAACACGUGGGUAAUCUGCCUGGGAGCGGGGGAUAACCUGGGGAAACUCGGGCUAAUACCGCAUACGUUGGUUGGAUUUUGGUUCGACCAAGAAAGCUGGCCUCUACAUGUAAGCUAGUGUUCCCAGAGGAGCCCGCGGCUGAUUAGCUAGUUGGUGAGGUAAAGGCUCACCAAGGCGACGAUCAGUAGCCGGCCUGAGAGGGUGAUCGGCCACACUGGGACUGAGACACGGCCCAGACUCCUACGGGAGGCAGCAGUGGGGAAUAUUGGACAAUGGGCGCAAGCCUGAUCCAGCAACGCCGCGUGGAGGAUGAAGGUCUUCGGA